rnacentral:lncRNA from 1 species
GGCUGUCUGUGCGCACUCUGGAUGCAGAGUAACCGAGUGAGACCCUGCCUGCGUAGCAUGCUCCACUCCAAGUGGUCCCGGAAGAGGGGCUUGUGUGUCCUCCGGUCUUUCUGGGGGCUGCUGAGGAUGAUGGACUCAGGUUAGAGGACACUCCACUGUGGCUCAGGACCUGCCAGUCUGAUAAGCGGCCCCUCUGCCUGCACAGGAGGAGAUCCUCGUGCCUCUUCAUUCUCUCUGGCAAGUUCUGCCGCCCUUCACCACCCGCAAGACUGUGAGACACCUGAAGUGGAAAAGGACUCUGUGGUCCCUAUGUGGCAGGGACACAGGUGGAAGGGGAAGCCAGCAUGGCUCAUCCGUGCAGGUGAAACGUACCUGUCCACCCUGCUCCCACCCCCGCUGCGUUUACAUGCUCAGCAGUUCCGUUUACAGCUCACUCCACUUUCACACUUCCUGUCUGUGUUUGAGACGGGCGGCCACUGUACAGAUAUUUAUUAUGCUUUCCAAACUUUCCCAUGAGAUUUUUUGAAUAAACAUGGAUUUUAUGAAGUGUAA